rnacentral:lncRNA from 1 species
AUUUCCCACAAAUAGGUAUUUCUAGCCUAUUUGUUAAAUACAAGUAGGUGGCCUGCUUGUAAAUUGCUUUACAAGUUUCAGAGGUUUCCCUAUCAAAUGUCUCAUCGGAUAGUGGGGUAAGAAGAGGAGCCCUAUUAUAAUGACUUGCCCAACUCCCCCCGUAUUCUUGGAGUUAAAAGAAAAAAAAAUCCUUGGGCAGAGACGUGCACAAACAUAAAGUUGCGUUUACAGACAUCAGUCAUGUGGGCUAGAAACGCAGUUUUGCAUGAAGAUAGGGGAAGCCAUGUUCAUACUAGCUCUGCAUCCCUGUAGAAUUUGUCUUCUCACCCCCCACAACAGUUCCUGGUGUGCUUUUUUCCUCCUCUAAGUACCUUCAGGAGAAAGUACUUGGUCUUGUAGCUUAGUGAAGAGUGGCGAUGAAGAAAGAUCUUUCAGCCCAUUGCCAGAACUUAACUGCCCCGGGGAGGAAAUUUCAACCUGAAAGACUUCAUAGAGACACGGCAAAGGAGUUGAGCCCCAUAAGAGUCCGUAGGAACAACAAAAGGCUCAGACGCCAGGACCCAUGGCUAAAAUGUAUGGGCUGGGGAUGCGGGCGGGAGCGGGGGGAAGGGAACUAAAGCUAGAGAGGACCUUGUAGAACCGUGUUGUCAAGAAUCUAUUUCAUGCUGAGGAAUUUGAGCUUUCUCUUCCAGGCAGUGAGGAGCCACUCAAAGGUUUUGUCUAUGUUUUUAAUUGGACCUAGGUGUAGAACUGGAUUUAAUUAUAAUCCAAUUCAUUAACCCAUGCCUGGCCCGCUGUGAUAGUUUCCUGUUGAUGCUGUAACAAAUUACUGCAAAUUUAGAUACUUAAAACAACACGAAUUUAUUUUCUUACAAUUCUGGAAGUCAGAAGUCCAAAAUCAGUUACACUGGGCUAAAAUCAAGGUGUCGGCAGGGCUGGUUCCUUGCCUUUUCCAGCUUCUAGAGGCUGCCUGCAUUCCUUGGCUCUUGGCCCCAUCCUCCAUCUUCAAGAAAAGAAGCAUAGUAUCUUCUUUCUUCUCUGCCUCUGUACGUACAUCGUGAUUCUCCUGCCACCCCUUUUCAUUUACGAGAACCUUUUGUGAUUACUUUGGGCGAAGAUUAUCUCAAGAUUCUUAAUCACAUCUGCAAAGUCCCUUUUAGCAUAACAUUCCCAAAUUCUGGGAAUUAGGACAUAGAAAUCUUUGGUGGACCAUUAUUCAGUUUACCGCACCCACCUUUAUUACUUUAGUUUUGAUUAUAGCCACAAACCCACCACACUAAAAAGUUAUAAUGACACGAGUUUAUAUCUGUAUCUAUGCUAUACCUCCUACACACAAUAACACACACCCCUGCCUUCGCUUGGGGUAACCAUCUUUCUGAAUCCUGUCUUUACUAUUUAUUGCUUUCCUUCUACAAGGUUUUAUUCCACAUGUACAUAGUCCUAAAAAUCAUAUGUAUAUACAUGUAUAUUUGAGUUUUUUUUUAACUUAGUAAAAAGAAUAUGCCCACUACAAACUAGAAUGGUUAAAAUGGGCAUGUUUACUGGCAGUGAAAUUAUUAAGGUUAAAAUCCAAAACACUAACACCACCAAGUGCUGGUGAGUAUGAAAAGCAACAGGAACUAUCAUUCUUUGCUGGUAGGACUGCAAAAUGUUAUAGCCCCUUUGGAGGACAGCUUGUCAGUUCCUUACAAAACUAAACAUAAUGCCUAGGUACUUACCCAAAUGAGCUGAAAACAUGUUUACAUAAAAACCUGCACACAAAUGUUUACAGCAGCUUUGUUCAUAAUCAUCCCAAAUUGGAAGCAACUAAGAUGUCCUUGAUAUAAGUGAAUGGAUAAACUGUCGUACAAGGUGGUACAUCCAUGCAAAGAAAUAUUGUUCAGUGAUUUUUUUAAAAAGAGCUAUUGAUAUGGUUUGGCUCUGUAUCCCCACCCAAUCUGAUCUUGAAUUGUACUCCCAUAAUUCCCACGUGUUGUGGGAGGGACCUGGUGGGAGAUAAUUUGAAUCCUGGGGGCAGUUUCCCCCAGACUGUUCUUGUGGUAGUGAAUAAGUCUCACGAGAUCUGAUGGUUUUAUCAGGGGUUUCCGCUUUUGCAUCAUCCUCAUUUUCUCUUGCUGCCACCAUGAUUCUGAGGCCUUCCCAGCCAUGUGGAACUCUAAGUCCAAUUAAACCUCUUUUUCUUCCCAGUCUGGGGUAUGUCUUUAUCAGCAGUGUGAAAACAGACUAAUACAGCUCUCAAGCUACAAAAAGACAUGGAGGAAUGUUAAAUGUACAGCACCAAGAGAAGCCCAGUGGAAAAGGCUGUAAACGCUACAACUUUAACUAUAUGACACUCUGGAAAGGGCAAAACUCAGUGGUUCCCUGGGCAUCAGGGAAGGAGAGAGGGAUGAAUAGGUGGAACACAGGUCAUUUUUACUGGUAGUGAAAUUAUUCAGUAUGAUACUCUCAUAGUGGAUACAUGACCUUAUGCAUUGUGAUUAACUGAAGUUUAUAUAUCAAUUAUGAAUUGAUAUACUUGUUAACACUAAUAUAAAACAGUAAUAACAGGGGAAACUAUGUUUGUAAUGGGAGAGAGGGCACAUGGGAACUCUGUACUUCAUGCACAAUUUUUCUAUAAACCUAAUACUGCUCUCAAAAGUCUAUUACAAAGGAAAAAAUUAUGUCCUUGUAAUCUUUUGAGACUGCUUUUCACUUAAUUAACACACAUAAGAUUCAGCCAUAUUUUAUGGCUAUCAUUCAUUCAGACUAUUAUAUGAUAUUCCAGUGUAUAAAUAUACUACAUUUGUCUGAUUUCUCAUUAAUGGAUAUUUGGGUUGCUUCCAGGUUUUUAUACUGUGAAUAAUGCUGCUAUGAACAUUCUUUUUUUUUUUUUUAACCUUUCUUUAUUUUUAUUUUUUUUUUUGUUUUUGAGAUGGAGUCUUGCUCUGUCAUCCAUCUAGAGUGCAGUGGUGCAAUCUCGGCUCACUGCAACCUCCGCCUCCCGCAUUCAAGCGAUUCUCCUGCCUCAGCCUCCUGAGUAGCUGAGACUACAGGUGCCCGCCACCACUCCUGGCUAAUUUUUGUAUUUUUAGUAAAGACGAGGUUUCACCAUGUUGCCCAGGGUGGUCUUGAACUCCUGACCUCAGGUGAUCCACCCGCCUUGGCCUCCCAAAGUGCUGGGAUUACAGGUGUGAGCCACCACGCCCAGCCAGCUAUGAACAUUCUUGUGUCUCCUGUGAUAGAUGUGGAAGAGCCUUUCACCCCUCAGCCAUUAGACCACCAGGGAGUGCAAGAGCUUUUCUUUGAUCUAUUUGGAUCUAUACCUAAAAGUGAAAUUGUCAGGUAACAGGGUAUAUGAACACUCCAUUUUGGUGGGUAACAUCAAACCUUUUUCCCAAAGUGAAUACACAAAUUUGUACUCCCAUCAGCAUCGUUUAAGAGACUCUGUGAGCGGAUCCACAUUUUCUUCAGUACUUAGUUUUGUAGUCUGACAAUCAAAGUAUUAGCUCAAUGUGGUCUUAAUUUUUACUUAAUCAAUAAAGUUGAACAUCUCCUCAUAUUCUGUUAACCAUAAGUUUCCUCUUCUGAAGCAUGCCCAUUGAUAUCUUUUGCCUAUUUUUCUAUUAUGUUAUAUGUGCUUUUCUCAAUUUUUUAGGAAUUUUUGAUGCUAAUUCUUUGUUAUAUAUGUAUAUUACAAAUAUCUUCUCCUAGUUUGUAACUUGUCCCUCUCUUUUUAAAAUGCUUUUGAUGCCAGGCAUGGUGGCUCACACCUGUAAUCCCAGCAGUUUGGGAGGCUGAGGCAGGUGGAUCACCUGAGGUCAGGAGUUCGAGA